rnacentral:rRNA from 1 species
UACAGAGGGUGCGAGCGUUAAUCGGAAUUACUGGGCGUAAAGCGCGCGUAGGCGGCUUUGCAAGCCGGAUGUGAAAUCCCCGGGCUUAACCUGGGAACUGCAUUCGGGACUGCAUUGCUAGAGUAUGGGAGAGGGAAGUGGAAUUUCAGGUGUAGCGGUGAAAUGCGUAGAUAUCUGAAGGAACAUCAGUGGCGAAAGCGACUUCCUGGACCAAUACUGACGCUCAUGUGCGAAAGCGUGGGGAGCAAACAGGG